rnacentral:rRNA from 1 species
AUGGCUGUCGUCAGCUCGUGUCGUGAGAUGUUGGGUUAAGUCCCGCAACGAGCGCAACCCUUGUCGUUAGUUGCUAACAGUUCGGCUGAGCACUCUAACGAGACUGCCGGUGUUAAACCGGAGGAAGGUGGGGAUGACGUCAAGUCCUCAUGGCCCUUAUGCCCAGGGCUACACACGUGCUACAAUGGCCGGUACAAACCGUCGCUAACUCGCGAGGGGGAGCCAAUCGGAAAAAACCGGCCUCAGUUCAGAUUGCAGUCUGCAACUCGACUGCAUGAAGUUGGAAUCGCUAGUAAUCCCUGAUCAGCAGGCAGGGGUGAAUACGUUCCCGGGCCUUGUACACACCGCCCGU